rnacentral:rRNA from 1 species
CACCGCGGUUAUACGAAAGACCCAAGCUGACAGUGAUCGGCGUAAAGCGUGGUUAUGGGAUACGCCUACUAAAGUCAAACGCCCCCUCAGCUGUUAUACGCCUGUGGGGGCCGGAGGCCCCCUUACGAAGGUGACUUUAAUAUACCUCCUGAAUCCACUACAGCUAAUGAA